CAGUAGCCGCGGUAACACGGAGGGUGCGAGCGUUAAUCGGAAUUACUGGGCGUAAAGCGUGCGCAGGCGGUUGUGUAAGACAGGUGUGAAAUCCCCGGGCUUAACCUGGGAACUGCGCUUGUGACUGCACAGCUAGAGUAUGGCAGAGGGGGGUGGAAUUCCACGUGUAGCAGUGAAAUGCGUAGAGAUGUGGAGGAACACCGAUGGCGAAGGCAGCCCCCUGGGCCAAUACUGACGCUCAUGCACGAAAGCGUGGGGAGCAAACAGGAUUAGAUACCCGCGUAGUCCCUGUCUCUUAUAC
rnacentral:rRNA from 1 species